GCCGGGCGCGGUGGCACGUGCCUGUAGUCCCAGUUACUCAGGAGGCUGAGGUGGGAGGACUGCUUGAGCCCAGGAGUUCUGGGCUGUAGUGCACUAUGCCGAUCAGGUGUCCGCACUAACUUUGGCAUCAAUAUGGUGACCUCCCAGGAGCAGGAGACCCUCAGGUUGCCUAAGGAGGGAUGAACUGGCCCAGGUUGGAAAACGGAGCAGGUCAAAACUCCCAUGCUGAUCAGUAGUGGGAUCACGCCUGUGAAUAGUCACUGUACUCCAGCCUGGGCAACAAAGCAAGACCCCAUCUCU
rnacentral:SRP_RNA from 1 species